rnacentral:rRNA from 1 species
AUUGAACGCUGGCGGCAUGCUUUACACAUGCAAGUCGAACGGUAACAGGUUAAGCUGACGAGUGGCGAACGGGUGAGUAAUGCAUCGGAACGUGCCCGGUCGUGGGGGAUAACGCAGCGAAAGCUGCGCUAAUACCGCAUACGAUCUGAGGAUGAAAGCGGGGGACCGUAAGGCCUCGCGCGAUCGGAGCGGCCGACGUCAGAUUAGGUAGUUGGUGGGGUAAAGGCUCACCAAGCCGACGAUCUGUAGCUGGUCUGAGAGGACGACCAGCCACACUGGGACUGAGACACGGCCCAGACUCCUGCGGGAGGCAGCAGUGGGGAAUUUUGGACAAUGGGCGCAAGCCUGAUCCAGCAAUGCCGCGUGCAGGAAGAAGGCCUUCGGGUUGUAAACUGCUUUUGUACGGAGCGAAAAGGCUCUCUCCAAUACAGGGGGCUCAUGACGGUACCGUAAGAAUAGCACCGGCUAACUACGUGCCAGCCGCCGCGGUAACAC